UACGGAGGAUGCAAGCGUUAUCCGGAAUGAUUGGGCGUAAAGCGUCCGCAGGUGGCUAUGUAAGUCUGCUGUUAAAGAGUCUGGCUCAACCAGAUAAAGGCAGUGGAAACUACAUGGCUAGAGUGCGUUCGGGGCAGAGGGAAUUCCUGGUGUAGCGGUGAAAUGCGUAGAGAUCAGGAAGAACACCGGUGGCGAAGGCGCCUUGCCAGGUCUAAUCUGACACUCAGACGCGAAAGCAUGGGGAGCGAACGGG
rnacentral:rRNA from 1 species